rnacentral:rRNA from 1 species
UACGUAGGGUGCAAGCGUUACUCGGAAUUACUGGGCGUAAAGGGUGCGUAGGCGGUUCUGCAAGUCAGAUGUGAAAGCCCUGGGCUUAACCUGGGAAUGGCAUUUGAAACUACGGAACUAGAGUGUAGCAGAGGGAGGUGGAAUUCCACGUGUAGCAGUGAAAUGCGUAGAGAUGUGGAGGAACACCGAUGGCGAAGGCAGCCUCCUGGGCUAACACUGACACUCAGGCACGAAAGCGUGGGGAGCAAACAGG